rnacentral:rRNA from 1 species
GCGCAACGCGUAUGCAACCCACCCCGACCCGGGGCAUAGCCGGUGGAAACGCCGGGUAAUGCGCCAUGAGCCGCGCAGGGGCAUCCCCCGCGUGGCAAAGCGAGAGCGGGACGGGACGGCAUGCGUCCCAUUAGCUUGUUGGCGGGGUGAAGGCCCACCAAGGCUACGAUGGGUAGGGGAUCUGAGAGGACCGGUCCCCCACACUGGUACUGAGACACGGACCAGACUCCUGCGGGAGGCAGCAGUAAGGGAUAUUGGUCAAUGGCCGGAAGGCUGAACCAGCCAUGCCGCGUGAGGGAAUGACGGCCCUACGGGUCGUGAACCUUCUUUUAUUCGGGGACAACGGCGGCGUCGCGAACGCCGUGUGAGGGUACCGAAGGAAUAAGCGUCGGCUAACUCCGUGCCAGCCGCCGC